rnacentral:snRNA from 1 species
GUGCUCACAUAUACUAAAAUUUGAACACUAGAAAAGAUUAGCAUGGCCCCGUGCAAGGAAAACAAAAGAAUUUGUGAAGCAUUCAUUUUU